rnacentral:rRNA from 1 species
AUGGGGUACCUCCUCCUCUCGCCCUCGCCGUCGCCGCCGCUCGCGUCCCGGCACCGCUGCCCCGCCGCCGCCGCCGGCCGCCACCGCGCGCGGAGGGGCGCGGCCGUCGUCGCGUCGUGCGAUGGCGGGCCGUCUUCGUCUCAGGCGGCCCGGUACGCGCUGGCGCGGCGGGCCGUGCUCCUCGGGGUCUCCGCGCUGCCGCUCCUCCGCGACACCGCCGCCAAGGCCGCCGCGCCCAGCAGCGCGGGUCUCGUGACUGUUUAUGGCAUGUCAUUACCCCAAGGGUUUAUUAGAAGAAAGGGGAUCCUUGCCCCGAGGAUAGAUCGUCAUGCUCAGAAUUGCUACAAAACUUUCAAGAUUGGACGUAAUAAAGUCAUCUGUAAACCUAACGAUGCCAUGCUUGAUGAGACAAAGGAUGCCCCAAAGGUGGAUGAACCUCAGAAUGGCGGGACUUUGGUUGAUGAACCUCAGACUGGCGGGACUCAGUCAGAAACUCCUCUACUUGAAGCCCCUCAACCCGAAUCGUCCUUACCACUGGUGCAAAAACAAUCUCCAGGGAAUCCACUUGCCGGACUUCUGAAUGCAAUUGCGGUUAUUGCCUCGGGAGUUCUUGCUGGAUUGUAUGGUACAUCUCAACAGGAAAAGAAGGCCCUGCAAUCUGUCGUCUCAUCUUUGGAGGUCAAAUUGGCUGAAAAUGAGGCAGCAAUCUCAUUGAUGAGGGAGACCUAUGAAAAAAGGUUAUUAGAGCAACAAGCAGCACAGAAGAAGCAAUCUAUGAAGUUCCAGGAGCAGGUAGCUUCAUUACUAGAUCAAUUGGCUUCAACAAAACAGACUGUAACAUCACUAAGCGAAGAAUUCAGAAGGGAGAAGGCACGGGCUGAGGAGCUCAAGGAUGGAAUACGGAGAUUAGAGAGUAGUAUUGAUAAAGCUGGGGAUGAUAAAGAUGUGCUUGAAGCCAAACUGACAGAAAAGGUUGGUGAAAUGAAUGAUUUGCAGGAAAAAUUAAGUCUACUCAGCCAACAGAAUGAUAGCAAGGAGAAAAGCAUCGAGGAACUCAACUCAUCACUUUCUUCAAAGGAAGCAGAGUACCAGAACCUGCGCCGUUUCUCUCAUCAAACGAAAGAGAAUCUUGAACUUGCAAAUGCUAAAAUACAACAACUGGAGGAAGAGAUUCAUACAGCUAAAAAUGAUCUUGCUUCUAAGAUAUCGGCAAUUGAUUCACUGAGUGAGAAACUUCAAGUAUUGAACUCUGCAAAGAAGGAAGCCGAGGAAAAAAUAAAUGAGCUAAUUAAAGAGUGUACAGACUUAAAGGCUUCUUCUGAGAUAAGAGCGAACCACGAUUCCGAACUACUGUCUGUGAAAGAUGAUCUAAUCAAACAGCUGGAAGAAAAGCUCUCUGUUACAUUAAGUGCCUCUACCAAAGACCAUGAAGUCAUUGCCGGAUUGAACAAGGAAUUGGAUGCCACCAAAGCUAUGCUAGACGAUGAAGUUGCGGCACUGAAAAGCCUUAGAGAUUUACUUAAAUCCACUGAAGAGACCCUAAGUGAAUCCCGAACUGAGGUUUCCAAACUUUCUGAGGACCUUGAUGAAGCAAAUAGAACAAAUAAGGACAUGGUAUUGCAGAUUUCAAAUCUCCAAAGCGAGUUCAAUGAAAUGCGAGAAGGUCUGACUUACAAGCUUGGAGAGGCUGAAUCAGUAUCUAAAGCUCUAUCAGAUGAACUGGUCUCAGCUAAAGAGAUGAUUCAAAAGGGUCAGGAAGAACUUGAAGCUACCUCUAAUGAGCUUACUUCUGCCGUGGAGGCUCGUGAUAACCUGAAGAAAGAAUUGCUGGAUGUGUACAAGAAGUUCGAGUCCACCACACAGGAGCUUGUUGAUGAAAGGAGAAUUGUGACUACUUUGAAUAGGGAGCUUGAGGCUUUGGCCAAACAAUUGAAUGCAGAUUCUCAAGCACGAAAAGUACUCGAAGCAGACCUGGAUGAAGCAACCAGAUCACUAAACGAGAUGAACACGAGCGCAGUGUCACUUUCUGAGGCGCUAGAGAGCACUCAUUCCAAGAAUGCCACUCUUGAAGCAGAGAAAGAAAUGCUAUCAAAAGCUCUCGAUGAACAAACAAAACUGACAACCGAGGCUCAAGAGAACUGCGAGGAUGCUCAGAAUCUUAUCACAAGGCUUCAGACAGAACGGGAGACUUUUGAAAUGAGGUCUAGGCACCUCGAAGAGGAACUGGCCUUAGCGAAGGGUGAGAUGUUGCGCCUAAGGAGGCAGAUUAGUGCAAGCAAAUCCCAGAAAACAAGAUAUGUUCCUAGAGCAAGUGCAUCCACAGAAACCAGCACUGCUCCCAGAGCAAGUUCGCCCACAGAGACCAGCAGUGUUCCCAGAACAAGUGUUCCCGCAGAGACCAGUCAGACCCCGAACGAGCAGUCUGUGAAUGAUGGUACUCAGAAGACCGGUGAAAUUGCUGCUGAGACUCCAUAUACUGUAAGAGUAAAGGCUAGGAGAGGAAAAGGUGGUGCGUCGCGAUGA